rnacentral:rRNA from 1 species
GACGAACGCUGGCGGCGUGCCUAAUACAUGCAAGUCGAACGAAACUUUCUUACACCGAAUGCUUGCAUUUAUCGUAAGAAGUUGAGUGGCGGACGGGUGAGUAACACGUGGGUAACCUGCCUAAAAGAAGGGGAUAACACUUGGAAACAGGUGCUAAUACCGUAUAUCUCUAAGGAUCGCAUGAUCCUUAGAUGAAAGGUGGUUCUGCUAUCGCUUUUGGAUGGACCCGCGGCGUAUUAACUAGUUGGUGGGGUAACGGCCUACCAAGGUGAUGAUACGUAGCCGAACUGAGAGGUUGAUCGGCCACAUUGGGACUGAGACACGGCCCAA